rnacentral:rRNA from 1 species
GGCGGCGCGCUUAACACAUGCAAGUCGAACGAGAAAGCAGGAGCAAUCCUGUGAGUAAAGUGGCGUACGGGUGAGUAACACGUGGAUAAUCUGCCCUGGAGUGGGGAAUAACGCUGGGAAACCGGCGCUAAUACCGCAUAUUCCCGAGAGGGGAAAGCAGCAAUGCGCUCGAGGAGGAGUCCGCGGCUGAUUAGCUAGUUGGUAGGGUAACGGCCUACCAAGGCUUUGAUCGGUAGCCGGCCUGAGAGGGCACACGGCCACACUGGCACUGAAACACGGGCCAGACUCCUACGGGAGGCAGCAGUGGGGAAUCUUGCACAAUGGGGGCAACCCUGAUGCAGCGACGCCGCGUGAGCGAUGAAGCCCUUCGGGGUGUAAAGCUCUUUCGGCAGGGAAGAUUAUGACGGUACCUGCAGAAGCAGCUGCGGCUAACUACGUGCCAGCAGCCGCGGUAAUACGUAGGCAGCAAGCGUUGUUCGGAGUUACUGGGCGUAAAGGGUGUGUA